AUGUGGCUGUGGCCCAAACUGAAGCAGCGCAUUCGUCCAGUGAAGGCAACAGCACAGGGCAGAUACUUAGGUUGUAUAAAUCAGCAGAUCUGCAUUCAUGUGAAAGGAACGAUGACAGCUGAGGAAGUGGCUGAAGUGGUAUCUUCACGCAACUGUUUGAAAAGCAAUGUGAAAAGUUUUCAGCUUUUGGAGACUUUCUUUGCUCCUUGA
rnacentral:lncRNA from 1 species